CGCCUGAGGAUGGGCCUGCGUCCGAUUAGGUCGUUGGUGGGGUAAUGGCCCACCAAGCCUGCGAUCGGUACGGGCAGUGGAAGCUGAAGCCCGGAGUUGGGGACUGAGACAAGGCCCCAGGCCCUACGGGGCGCAGCAGGCGCGAAACCUCUGCAAUGCGGGAAACCGUGACAGGGGGAUCCCAAGUGCUCAUGCAUUGCAUGGGCUGUUCUUUGGUCUAAGUAACCAGAGGAGUAAGGGCUGGGCAAGACCGGUGCCAGCCGCCGCGGUAAUACCGGCAGCUCAAGUGGUAGCCGCGAUUAUUGGGCCUAAAACGUUCGUAGCCGGAUAAGUAAGUCUUUGGUUAAAUCCUGCGACUCAACCGUGGGAAUUCUAGAGAUACUGCUCGUCUUGAGACCGGGAGAGGUUGGAGGUACUCCUAGGGUAGGGGUGAAAUCCUGUAAUCCUAGGGGGACCACCUGUGGCGAAGGCGUCCAACUGGAACGGGUCUGACGGUGAGGGACGAAACCUAGGGGAGCGAGCCGGAUUAGAUACCCGGGUAGUCCUAGGCGUAAAUGAUGCGAGUUAAGUGUGGGGGCAUCUACGAGAUGGCCCUGUGCUGUAGGGUAGCCGUUAAACUCGCUGCCUGGGGAGUACGUCGCAA
rnacentral:rRNA from 1 species